rnacentral:rRNA from 1 species
UACGGAGGAGGCAAGCGUUAUCCGGAAUUAUUGGGCGUAAAGCGUCCGCAGGUGGCACUUCAAGUCUGUCGUCAAAGACUGGGGCUUAACCCCGGAAAGGCGGUGGAAACUGAAGCGCUAGAGUGCGGUAGGGGUAGAGGGAAUUCCCGGUGUAGCGGUGAAAUGCGUAGAGAUCGUAAGGAAGGCCAGUGGCGAAGGCGAGUUCCUGGACAGUGACUGACGCUGAGGCACGAAGGCCAGGGGAGCAAACGGG